rnacentral:lncRNA from 1 species
UCGAUUACACAUACUACUCCAAAAUUUCAUAUUUUCGUAGUUUCGGUGAGACCACAUUACUGGUAUUUAAUUGUUAAAAUUCGGAAUUUUUGAGUCUUGUAUUUCAGUUAGUCCCGGGCAUGGGCAGCCCUGCCCGGCUGGCCCGGCCCGAAAGCCCGACAUCCGGCUGACACGCACCAUUAGGACGGCCAAGCGGGCCUCCCGCGAAGGCGCGGCCGAGGCGACCGCCGGCGCGUGCGCACCACCCCUCCGGCCGUCUCGAGCGCGUAGCGACGAGGCCAUGGCAAGGAACUCGCCGAAUGCCNN